rnacentral:rRNA from 1 species
ACAGAGGGGGCAAGCGUUGUCCGGAAUUACUGGGCGUACAGCGCGCGCAGGCGGACCGCCACGUGCCGUGUGACAGACCACCGCUCAACGGUGGAGGGCCAUGGUACACGAGCGGUCUGGAGGCAGAGAGAGGGAUGUGGAAUGCCCGGUGGAGCGGUGAAAUGCGUAGAUAUCUGGAGGAACACCGGUGGCGAAGGCGGCAUCCUGGACCAACACUGACGCUGAGGCGCGAAAGCUAGGGGAGCAAACGGGA